rnacentral:lncRNA from 7 species
UCCACCUCCAGUAUUUUCAGACCUGGCCACACCUAUGACACUUACCUGGUACAAACUCAAACGGCAAAGUGCAAAGCCAGAGCUGGCAAUAAAAAUCACACUGAAGAGCUUCACAGAAGAAGGACUCUUCAAGGAAUAAUCUUACUGCACAGAUAGAGUGAGAGCACCGACAAACAAAAAGGCACGCAGUAGUGUUAAAUACACACCACAGCCCCUAUUUCCAUGUAUCAUCCUGCUAUUCAUGGUCUGUGUGUUAAAGCUGGGUCUGUGUGGGGGAUAACAUAUACAAUCUCUUUCUAAAUGAACGUAUGGUCCACAUCUGAUCAAGUUCAUACGCUUAUGAUCCAAGCGGUUUUAGUUUGGGCUGAACUUUGUGAGCAGGAAUAAUUCAGAGGCUACAUACCAUCCUCCGUACACAAACACCAACUCUGGAUACCACUGAAGGCUCAGAGCAUAGAUAACAUCUGAUCUCUGAAUGUGCAUACAUAUAAUAUCAAAAAUCAGUUAAGUGUUUCACAUACAGCAUGUAUUACAAAGUUAGACCUAUAAUUACACCCGUAUCUCACUUCUUUGCUUUUCAUAGUUCUGUUUACAUAGGGGAAACAUUCAAGUCUCCCUGCAAGCUGCUCAGCAAUGUCAGCUCACACUUAUUUCUGUGAUUACUGAGAACACUCAACAUCUCAGGAACUGCUUGGUUAAUGAAGAUGCCCCUGCACACCAGUGGUAGCAGCAAGGCUUUCUAAUCAGCUAGCAGAGCUUUCAAGUUCAGCCUAAGAUGGGGCUAACAUCAGAUUCAUUAAACUCCCAUCAGUUGAAAUUAAAAUGCUGUACUAAAAAGGCUGACAAAGUCGUCUUACUCAUGCUUCUGCAGUACAAUGUUCCAAACAGAACAGCUUUGUAAGCAAGAAAAAUAUCUGACAGAUUAUAUUAGUGAUUUAUUAUAGAGGUAAUGACCUUGAACUGACAG